rnacentral:rRNA from 1 species
ACGAACGCUGGCGGCAGGCCUAACACAUGCAGGUCGAGCGAGGACUUCGGUUCUAGCGGCGGACGGGUGAGUAACGCGUGGGAAUGUGCCCUUCUCUACGGAAUAGCCCUGGGAAACUGGGAGUAAUACCGUAUACGCCCUAUUGGGGAAAGAUUUAUCGGAGAAGGAUCAGCCCGCGUUGGAUUAGGUAGUUGGUGGGGUAAUGGCCUACCAAGCCGACGAUCCAUAGCUGGUUUGAGAGGAUGAUCAGCCACACUGGGACUGAGACACGGCCCAGACUCCUACGGGAGGCAGCAGUGGGGAAUCUUAGACAAUGGGGGCAACCCUGAUCUAGCCAUGCCGCGUGAGUGAUGAAGGCCUUAGGGUUGUAAAGCUCUUUCAGCUGGGAAGAUAAUGACGGUACCAGCAGAAGAAGCCCCGGCUAACUCCGUG